rnacentral:rRNA from 1 species
UGGGGGAUAUUGCACAAUGGGCGAAAGCCUGAUGCAGCGACGCCGCGUGGGGGAUGAAGGCCUUCGGGUUGUAAACUUCUUUUGCUCUGAACAAGGCGCACCAUGGGGUGUGUUGAGUGUAGGGGUUGAUUAGCGCCGGCUAACUACGUGCCAGCAGCCGCGGUAAUACGUAGGGCGCCAGCGUUGUCCGGCAUUAUUGGGCGUAAAGGGCUUGUAGGUGGCUGGUUGCGUCUGUCGUGAAAGCUCAUGGCUUAACUGUGGGUUUGCGGUGGGGACGGGCUGGCUUGAGUGCAGUAGGGGAGGAUGGAAUGCCUGGUGUAGCGGUGGAAUGCGCAGAUAUCAGGAGGAAUACCGGUGGCGAAGGCGGGUCUCUGGGCUGUUACUGACACUGAGGAGCGAAAGCAUGGGGAGCGAACAGG